rnacentral:rRNA from 1 species
CCUACGGGGGGCAGCAGUGGGGAAUAUUGGACAAUGGGGGCAACCCUGAUCCAGCCAUGCCGCGUGUGUGAAGAAGGCCCUCGGGUUGUAAAGCACUUUCAGUGAGGAAGAACGCCUGGUGGUUAAUACCCAUCAGGAAAGACAUCACUCACAGAAGAAGCACCGGCUAACUCCGUGCCAGCAGCCGCGGUAAUACGGAGGGUGCGAGCGUUAAUCGGAAUUACUGGGCGUAAAGCGCGCGUAGGUGGCUUGAUAAGCCGGUUGUGAAAGCCCCGGGCUCAACCUGGGAACGGCAUCCGGAACUGUCAAGCUAGAGUGCAGGAGAGGAAGGUAGAAUUCCCGGUGUAGCGGUGAAAUGCGUAGAGAUCGGGAGGAAUACCAGUGGCGAAGGCGGCCUUCUGGACUGACACUGACACUGAGGUGCGAAAGCGUGGAUAGCAAACAGGAUUAGAUACCCCGGUAGUC